CCGGUCCAAGUCAAUUCCCCCAGAUGAAAACUGAGCUCUAAUUACUAUUCUUUGGUCCCAAAUUGAAGGUCCAGAUUGAGAGAAACAGGCUGCUGUAUAUAUAAGAAAUUUAUUUUUGGACCAGCAAAAGAACUACUAAAACUCAUUUAUCAAUUAGGUUGAUGCAGCAUUUUUUUUUUUCUUUCUUUCUUGUGGAGUUUACUUGCAAGUAUCCACUGUAAAAUUCUAGAGGUGAGAAGUAUUGUAGCAGGGCACCACAUGUAAGAUAUAAUGCCAAUUAAAUGAAGAAUUUUUCUAUUAAAAAAAAAAAUCUGCUGCAUCAACCUAAUUGAUAAAUGAGUUUUAGUAGUUCUUUUGCUGGUCCAAAAAUAAAUUUCUUAUAUAUACAGCAGCCUGUUUCUCUCAAUCUGGACCUUCAAUUUGGGACCAAAGAAUAGUAAUUAGAGCUCAGUUUUCAUCUGGGGGAAUUGACUUGGACCGGUAAAGUUGUGUGUUGAUUCCCUGUUCAGAUUCUGGCCAAAACCCAUCUGAACAAUAGUUUGGAGGUCAUCCUCACAGAAUAAUGAAUACUGAGGACCACUAUGGUUAAAUCCUUCAAGUGGGGGUAACUGCAUAUUAAGGCUUUGGCAUAGUCCAGUAUCUAAUGCGUCAGCAGAGCAUUGGGUCAUUGUCCCACUAGAAAUGUUGCUAUGUAGUGCUGGAGUUUGCUGGGGUUGGUGUUGGUGGCCAAAAAUGGCUGAUGCCGAGGAAUCUAAUGGGAAUAUUGGAUGUGGCAAUUGGUGGGUUGAUUGAAAUAUAUCUUUUGAAUUGAGAGUAUCCAUGUUGAAAUCCAGCCUGGUAUUCACAGAAGCCAACUUCAUGGAGAGAAACUCCACUUGGCGUUGCAAUGACUGCACAUAGUUUAUAAUUUCAUCAAGCAUAAGGGCCUUGCCAGUUACCUUACUGCAACUCGGUACAAGAUCUUGGAGGAGCUUCAUUCUUUCACUAAUUUUCUCUCUUCGAACUCUUUCAGCCAGGCUGUGACUGUCAGUAGCUUGACCCCUUCUUGCUCUAACAUGAAUGUAGUCCUUAGGGGGCUCUGGAGGCUUUGAGUUGUUAUUCUUGGUUUGUUUCUCAUCCCCACUUCCCUUCUGAUCUUCCUCUGCUUUAACAGCACUCUUUUCAUUUCCAUUACCUUCAUUUCGCUUGGUUCGCUUUGUGUUUGAAUUGUCAUCAAUUUCUGCAUCCUUAGCUGAAUUGGCUGGUGGGGUUGAUGCUGGCCGCGAUUCUUUUGCUUUUCCCUUGGAAACUGCUUUUCUUUUCUUGGAAUUCAGCUCGCUGGAGACCUUCAAAGCAGUUUCCCCAUUUGGGGUUUGUUCAGAUACGGAGGACUCCUGAGAAGAAUUGGCCAAUUCAUAUCGAUCCUGCAAUGGAGAACUCUUGUUCCCUUUUUGAGAUCCAAUUACCUUGAAAGAAGGACUACUGGAAACACGAGGCAANNNNNNNNNNCUUGCCAUUUCCCAUUAAUGGAUUGCAUUUAUAAGCAAAUUCUGCAUUAUUUAGCCCAAACUGGCUGCUUCUACCAUUGAAACUCCUUGUGCCAAAGCAAGAAAACCUUGCAGCUCUCUCGGCGAAUCCGGGAUCAGCCGUGAAUUCUGCCACACUAGAAUUCAAAGCCAUCGGUUUCCCCAAACUGGGAAAAUUCAAAAUUUCCUUGGGAAAUUGAUCCAAUGGAGGCAAAUUCAGCUUGGGGGGUGAAUUCAAAGGAGUACCAUAACGGGAAGUGUUGGUGCUGUUAUUUCCAGGGGUAAUAUAUGAACCUUCCAACAUAGGCGAGUUGUUGUUGGUGGUGGUGCCGCUGCCAAUAUUUCCUAAUUUUCCUAUGAGUUCCCUAAUCAUAAAGCUCUCGCUGGAUAUGUUAGAAUUGGAGGCCGCCGGCGAGGACACCAUUGAACUCAGGGCAGAGUCAAAGUUGAGGCCUUGAUCCGUUGACUUUUCCCAAUUAGGAGUGGAGAAGCAAUCAGUUGACUGCCCAGCUGAGCAAUUAAGUUCAUUAGCUUGCAUGUCCAUGGCAGAAGAGAGUGCGUGCCAAGUUGAGGCUGAGGUUGGCUCAAAGUCCAAUGGCGGUGGAGGGAUUCCUGCAUUCAGAAAGAACUCACCCUCCAUAAUCAAUUGUAUUAGCCUAAAAUUGGAGAUAACAAUAAAAACCCAACAAAAGAAUUAGUAAAUAGGCUCCAAAAAGCUUCAGAAAACUUGGGAUUCUUACAAUCUAAGUGAAAUGAGCAUAGAUAAAGAGAAAGUGUAUGAAAG
rnacentral:misc_RNA from 1 species